AAAGAAAAGAAAAGUAGACCUGCCAUCUGACCCAGCUCUGCUGCUCCUGGGUGUAUACUUAGUGUACUGGACUGCCCCGUAGAGAUAUUCGCACGCCAGUGUUUAUUGCUGCUUUAUUUAUGUCGGCAGGGAAACGGAAGCAGCCUAGAUGUCCGUCAGCAGAUGCUGGUAAUGCAAAUGUGGUGUGUGCACAGCCCAGAGUGUUAUCCAGAAAAAAAAUGGGAAAUUUGCAGGAAAAUGUGCAGAUCGUGGGAGUAUAAUAUCAAGCAAGGUGACACAACCUCAGAAGAAAGCUGAGCAUUCGGACACAUAUGUGGGUCCCAGCCUGUAGAGUGUAUGUGUAUGUGUGUGAACAGGUAUAGGUACACAUACAGUCUGAGUAGACGUGUGUGUAAACAGAUAUAGGUGUACAUACAGUCUAUGUAUAUGUGUGUGAACAGGUAUAGGUGCACAUACAGUCUAAGUAUGUGUGUGUGUGUGUGUGAACAGGCAUAGGUGCACAUACAGUCUAAGUAUGCGUGUGUGUAAACAGGUAUAGGUACACAUACAGUCUGAGUAGACGUGUGUGUAAACAGAUAUAGGUGUAUAUAAAUCUAUAUGUGUGUGAACAGGCAUAGGUGUACAUACAGUCUAUGUAUAUGUGUGUGUAAACAGGUAUAAGUGCACACACAGUCCAAGGUGUGCAGAGGAGACCAAGGAAGAGCGCUACCAGCAAUGAGGGAAGGACUAGAAUGUCGGCAAAGGACACCUAAGUCAAGACAGAGGAUCCUAAGUUGAAAUUUUCCCCCUUGUUUUUCCUUUGUGUGAGUUCAGCUUUCUGGGUGUUGAGUCGCAAGAUCUACUGUUGCAUUUCCGAAGACUCGGGCGUUGACAUUCUUUUGUGGGAGUGAUCUGAAGAUUGGGCUUUCUUUUUAAUGCCUUUGACCAUCAGGGCCUAGGAAGCAAGCGACACGAGUCACUGGACAUAUUUGUCACACAGACCCACUUAGAAGAGGCACCCACAUCUUACAGAUGGGGAAACUGGCCCGGAGAGUUUGAACGGCUCCCUCUGUCCUCAUUCCUAGUAAGUGAUAAACUAGGGAUUGAAACCCUACAAGUUCACCUCUGUCGGAAAUGCUCCAGGACAUCUUUGGAUCUGUGGGAAACCCUGCUUGUGCCCUGAAGGUUAAAAUUCUCUCGUCAUGGUCUGGAGAGAUGGUUCAGCGGUUCAGAGUACUUGCUGCUCUUGAAGAGAGCUUGCGUUUGGUUCCCAGCACCCAUGACUCUAGUUCCAGGGCAUCUAAAGCCUUCUUCUGACUUCCAUGGGCACAUGGUACACAUUCAUUCAUCUCAUCUCAGGGUUUAAUGUCCAAUGACAUGACCACAGGUAACACCCGUGGGAAAAUCUCAGGAAAUUUUCACAGGAAAGUGUAAUUCAUAACAUUUACAUGGUCCAGUUAAUGUUUACUCAAAUUUCAGUUUUCUGAGUACUAAUAAAAAUUGCCUCCAAACUUCUCCUGAA